GUAGGGAAUCUUCCACAAUGGACGCAAGUCUGAUGGAGCAACGCCGCGUGAGUGAAGAAGGUCUUCGGAUCGUAAAGCUCUGUUGUUGGUGAAGAAGGAUAGAGGCAGUAACUGGUCUUUAUUUGACGGUAAUCAACCAGAAAGUCACGGCUAACUACGUGCCAGCAGCCGCGGUAAUACGUAGGUGGCAAGCGUUGUCCGGAUUUAUUGGGCGUAAAGCGAGCGCGGCGGAAUGAUAAGUCNGAUGUGAAAGCCCACGGCUCACCGUGGAACUGCAUCGGAAACUGUCAUUCUUGAGUGCAGAAGAGGAGAGUGGAACUCCAUGUGUAGCGGUGGAAUGCGUAGAUAUAUGGAAGAACACCAGUGGCGAAGGCGGCUCUCUGGUCUGCAACUGACGCUGAGGCUCGAAAGCAUGGGUAGCGAACAGGAUUAGAUACCCUGGUAGUCC
rnacentral:rRNA from 1 species